AUUGAACGCUGGCGGCAUGCCUUACACAUGCAAGUCGAACGGUAACGGGCCUUCGGGUGCCGACGAGUGGCGAACGGGUGAGUAAUACAUCGGAACGUGCCCGAUCGUGGGGGAUAACGAGGCGAAAGCUUUGCUAAUACCGCAUACGAUCUACGGAUGAAAGCAGGGGACCGCAAGGCCUUGCGCGGACGGAGCGGCCGAUGGCAGAUUAGGUAGUUGGUGGGAUAAAAGCUUACCAAGCCGACGAUCUGUAGCUGGUCUGAGAGGAUGAACAGCCACACUGGGACUGAGACACGGCCCAGACUCCUACGGGAGGCAGCAGUGGGGAAUUUUGGACAAUGGGCGCAAGCCUGAUCCAGCCAUGCCGCGUGCAGGAUGAAGGCCUUCGGGUUGUAAACUGCUUUUGUACGGAACGAAAAGCCUUCUUUUAAUACAGGAGGGUCAUGACGGUACCGUAAGAAUAAGCACCGGCUAACUACGUG
rnacentral:rRNA from 1 species